GAUGAACGCUGGCGGCGUGCCUAAUACAUGCAAGUCGAGCGAACAGACGAGGCUCUUGCUCCUCUCACGUUAGCGGCGGACGGGUGAGUAACACGUGUAUCACCUCCCUAUAUUACUGGUAUAACUUCGGGACACCGGCGCUAAUACCGGAUAAUAUAUUGAACCGCAUGGUUCAAUAGUGAAAUACGGUUUUGCUGUCACUUCUAGAUGGAUCCGCGCUGCAUUAGCUAGUUGGUAAGUUAACGGCUUACCAAGGCGACGAUGCGUAGCCGAAGUGCGAGGGGGAUCGGCCACACGGGAACUGAGACACGGUCAAGACGCCUACGGGAGGCAGCAGUAGGGAAUGUUACGCAAUGGGCGAAAGCCUGACGGAGCAAGGGCGCGUGAGUGAUGAAGGUCUUCGGAUCGUAAAACUGGGUUAUGAGGGAAGAACAAAUGUGUAAGUAACUAUGGAGGGAGUGACGGUAACGAAUAAGAAAGCAACGGCUAACUACGUG
rnacentral:rRNA from 1 species